UACAGAGGUCUCAAGCGUUGUUCGGAUUCAUUGGGCGUAGAGGGUGCGUAGGUGGCGCGGUAAGUCGGGUGUGAAAUUUCGGAGCUUAACUCCGAAACUGCAUUCGAUACUGCCGUGCUUGAGGACUGGAGAGGAGACUGGAAUUUACGGUGUAGCAGUGAAAUGCGUAGAGAUCGUAAGGAAGACCAGUGGCGAAGGCGGGUCUCUGGACAGUUCCUGACACUGAGGCACGAAGGCCAGGGGAGCAAACGGG
rnacentral:rRNA from 1 species